CAUGUAGGCGGAUUAAUAAGUUUGAAGUGAAAUCCUAUAGCUUAACUAUAGAACUGCUUUGAAAACUGUUAAUCUAGAAUGUGGGAGAGGUAGAUGGAGUUUCUGGUGUAGGGGUAAAAUCCGUAGAGAUCAGAAGGAAUACCGAUUGCGAAGGCGAUCUACUGGAACAUUAUUGACGCUGAGAUGCGAAAGCGUGGGGAGCAAACA
rnacentral:rRNA from 1 species